GUAGCUGUGGAGUGGGCGGCAUGAGCUCGCUAGGGUCGCAGCACUUGGACACGCGAUCAUCGCGCGAUACACACGCUCUUCCCAAAUGCCUCACCGGCUGCAGCUAUUUCCUCGCGACGCGUGCCUUUCGCGCGAUCGUCACGCGUACGACUUAUCGUGAGGGAGGUCAAGGGGAGUCCGGCAGACCUGUCGAACCAUUCGGUACUUACUCUGCUGCCUUCUUUUUGUCAAGGUGCUCGUUGCCGCGGCUCUUUCCCAUUGUGACUCUGCCGCCUUGAAUCGUGACUCGGGUAUAAUACAGUGCGUGGACUACUGCUUUCGUGAGCUGACACCGUGUGUGACGCUGUUCUCUGUGAGACUGUGGUGAAGCAUUAAAGAAGAUUCUUCGAGAAGAUAGACUGGUUAUAAAUUGACCGAUCGCCUGGCCAUGGAUUGGAGACUCGGAUUGCUGUUGUUGACCUGUCUUCUUGUUAACGGCACGGUAGCGUUGAGGAUGCUGGAGCUGGUGGUCCCCCAGCAUGUGGUCCGUGGUCAGAACAUCAAGUUGGAGUGCAACUUUAACCUGGACGGUGAGACGUUAUACUCGGUAAAAUGGUACAAAGACGGGAACGAGUUCUACCGAUACGUGCCGCAGAACAUGCCGCCUGUGCUCGUCUUUCAGCUGCCAGGUGUCACGGCGAACAUUCACAAUUCGACCGAGAGAUCGGUCGUUCUCUAUUCCGUGAACCUAAUGAGCACCGGAAGAUACAGAUGCGAGGUGUCAGCCGAAGCGCCAUCCUUCCAAACGGUCUCCGAUCACUCGGACAUGCUGGUAGUGGCCCUACCGGAAGACGGGCCCAUUAUCACCGGAAGGCCAGGAAGGCAUCGUUAUCAAGUCGGUGACGUGGUGCGGUUCAAUUGCACUUCGGCGAAGUCUAAACCAGCUGCCAUGCUCAGCUGGUUCAUCAACGGGGACCCUGUCGACACGCAAUACUUGAGAGGGCCCCACAUCACUGAGGUGGAUCGCGAGGGUCUGGAAACCGCCGUGCUAGGUCUGGAGUUCCGUCUGCGUACGAAGCACUUCAAGAGGGGGGACCUGAAGAUCAAAUGCCUGGCAACGAUAGCGACCGUAUAUUGGAAAUCGAACGAGCUCAGCAUAGAGGGUGAAAGGCCCCUCAAGAUGCCGGUCAUGGAGAGCAGGGAGACAAGGGCGCAAGGCCAUACGCACGCGGAACAUAUCUUAGGAGAAACAUGAGAACCGCUGUUAUACUUCAGUUAACUCUUGGACAGCGAAUUUGUGGAUGGCGAUGGCUAGGUCAACUUUGAUACGGACAUUUCACGUUUAUACUCUCUAAUGAUAUACUUGCGUGUUAUCGUUUUAUCAGAUUAUAUAUAAACAGUUUUAUUUCUGGGAUAAAUAUUAUUAUUACGUUGGGGAAGCGGAAGCAGCAUGUUAGCGCCGUGUAUCUUCCUGCUGAUGACGAGUAUAUUGAUUCUACGAUAAGAAGGACACACACAACAUGGUGCCGCGUCCUUUUUUGUGCUCAUCCUUUUCAGGCCUCCAAAAACAAGUGUUAUGGAGACCACUGGUGUACUAAAUUAUCCGUGUUGUUUCUAUUUUUUAUAAUCGCAGUUAGUGGAGUUAGCGACGAUAUAGGCGAGAGAAUAUACUUAACAGAGAUAUACGUCAGUAUGUUAGAGAUUAGAAAAUGGGUGGACGCAUAAAUUCGUACUUACUGAAUCGGGUGUGUAAAUCUCCCUGCAUCUUGCACGGAUUUUUUAUACUUUCCAUGUUUCGUUAUCUUAUAGCUUAUAGUCGUUUUUAACACUAUAACGAAAGGCUAAUUUCGAAAUUGACGAACAAUGUUUUUUUUUGUACUUGUAGAAAAAUUUAGUAACUUUAAAUAUAUGAGAAACAAAAAGAUUAAAGUAAUAAAUAGAUUUAGUUAUCUAACCCAAAAUGCAAGAUGACCACUACAAAUGCACAAAAAUUCUUGUCCGAUUGCAUUUUUAAUUUCGACAAUAAUAUAAAAUUGAUUGUCAAUAUAAAAGUAAUGAAACGUAAUAAAAGUAAUUAAAUCUUGUAUGAUGUUAAUAGAAUUUAAAAUGUAACACAAAGUUAACGCUCAUAUGGCGGAGGUAAUGUCGUGUCUGCGGCGUCAUAGUGUUAAAUCCCAGAUUCUCAAGCAAGAUGCAAAGAGAUGUAUAGUCUCGUUAAAGAAAACAUGAUCAUGGUUACUUAAAGAAGCUAUUCAAUCGUUGAUACAACACAGAGAGCAGAGUUUACAAAUCUACGUUCAUCUCAGCAUCUUCAAACUCUCGAGAGUGCGAAAUUACAGCCCUUACGUACUUCUUUUCCUCUCCUUCAUCUCUUACUAUUAAAAAGAAUCGCAAGCGUAAACGAACGAUUAAUAAUCAACCGGAAUGAAUGAAUGAAUGAACGAACGAGCGAACGAACGCCGAGUAUAUUUAUAUUCUAAUUGUACACGAGUGUUUCUAUCGUCCAGUCACGCGAGAGAACAAGCAAAGAUUUUAGCCCCGGUGAGAGUGUUCUCUUUCGUCGUAGCUUUUAUCAAUCUAGUCGCUAUUAAUCAACAGAGAUAUGUUACCCUAGAAGUUAUUGUGAGCCGUGUGUAUGCGCGUGAAUGUAGAGUGUGUUUUACCAAAGAACAUUUUGCGCUAAAUAACAUUCCUAAUUGUUAAUUACAAGUGAAAUACACGGGGUGGUAUAAAAAAAAACCACUACCUGCAUAUCGUAUUUUACUGUAAGAGCACUUUGUACAUAUGUACAUAAAUUGAACCGACUUUUAUCUCUAACUUAACGUUCUGAUAAAUAAAGCGGCGUUUACUUCAAUGGA